CGGUGAGGUGAUAUGAACCGUUAUAACCGGCGAUUUCCGAAUGGGGAAACCCAGUGUGUUUCGACACACUAUCAUUAACUGAAUCCAUAGGUUAAUGAGGCGAACCGGGGGAACUGAAACAUCUAAGUACCCCGAGGAAAAGAAAUCAACCGAGAUUCCCCCAGUAGCGGCGAGCGAACGGGGAGGAGCCCAGAGCCUGAAUCAGUGUGUGUGUUAGUGGAAGCGUCUGGAAAGGCGCGCGAUACAGGGUGACAGCCCCGUACACAAAAAUGCACAUAUUGUGAGCUCGAUGAGUAGGGCGGGACACGUGGUAUCCUGUCUGAAUAUGGGGGGACCAUCCUCCAAGGCUAAAUACUCCUGACUGACCGAUAGUGAACCAGUACCGUGAGGGAAAGGCGAAAAGAACCCCGGCGAGGGGAGUGAAAAAGAACCUGAAACCGUGUACGUACAAGCAGUGGGAGCCUCUUUAUGGGGUGACUGCGUACCUUUUGUAUAAUGGGUCAGCGACUUAUAUUCUGUAGCAAGGUUAACCGAAUAGGGGAGCCGAAGGGAAACCGAGUCUUAACUGGGCGUUAAGUUGCAGGGUAUAGACCCGAAACCCGGUGAUCUAGCCAUGGGCAGGUUGAAGGUUGGGUAACACUAACUGGAGGACCGAACCGACUAAUGUUGAAAAAUUAGCGGAUGACUUGUGGCUGGGGGUGAAAGGCCAAUCAAACCGGGAGAUAGCUGGUUCUCCCCGAAAGCUAUUUAGGUAGCGCCUCGUGAAUUCAUCUCCGGGGGUAGAGCACUGUUUCGGCAAGGGGGUCAUCCCGACUUACCAACCCGAUGCAAACUGCGAAUACCGGAGAAUGUUAUCACGGGAGACACACGGCGGGUGCUAACGUCCGUCGUGAAGAGGGAAACAACCCAGACCGCCAGCUAAGGUCCCAAAGUCAUGGUUAAGUGGGAAACGAUGUGGGAAGGCCCAGACAGCCAGGAUGUUGGCUUAGAAGCAGCCAUCAUUUAAAGAAAGCGUAAUAGCUCACUGGUCGAGUCGGCCUGCGCGGAAGAUGUAACGGGGCUAAACCAUGCACCGAAGCUGCGGCAGCGACACUAUGUGUUGUUGGGUAGGGGAGCGUUCUGUAAGCCUGUGAAGGUGGCCUGUGAGGG
rnacentral:rRNA from 1 species